ensembl:lncRNA
GGAAUCGGAGCGCGACGACGGCUGCUGCCCGCCAAGAUUGAGGUAAUCAGGAUAUGCUGAUUAUGACAAUGGUUGGAGCCUGUAUAUUCCUGGAGUAACGAAAGAAUCUGGAACUCCUCAACGUCGUAAUGGAACUGGUCCUUUAGAUAUCCCUUUCUGCGACUUUGGAACAAAGGGGAAGAGUCACUGCUGCACCAUGGAAACUGUGUCGAGAUGGAACUGCUACAGUUUAUAACAUAUUUGGGACAAAUGAGUCACUGUGGGACUGGUCUUCAGACCCAGCCCGAAACCCUGGAGCUCAGGAUAAUAGAAACUUUGCAUCCCGUAUUUGGAACUUGGGAGGCUCUAAAGUGUUCCAAACAGAAAUCUGGAAACUAGCUGCCACCCUUGGAUGUGAGGGUUCCUACCUUCAGGUGGGAUAGAAAGUGAGACACGGUUAUUUGUGGAAUCUCACCAUGAGAUACCUUCGUGCAUGUGUGCCUCACCCUUAUGCUUUACUAGUAAAAUCUGUAAAAAUACAACCUGGGUUACGAAAUUAUAAUGUAACUUGUAACAAUUGUACCUUAACUAACUGCGUCAGGGAAAUGACUAAUCAAACUAGGGUUCUAGUCUUAAGACAGCCUGCUUUUGUUAUGGUUCCUGUAAAGAUUAAUGGGUCUUGGUAUGAUGAAAUGGGACUUGAACUUUAGAGAGAAGUAGACGGUGCUUUAAUGCGUUAUCACAGGAGAACAAGGUUAAUAAUUCUGGGAUUUGUAGCUUUGGUAACUCUUAUUGCUUCCUCUAUUACUGCAGCCCUGUCCCUGGCACAAUCAGUGCAAACUGCAACUUUUGUUAAUAAUCUGGCACAAAAUGUAUCCAUUGCCCUGGGGACUCAAGAAGAUAUUGACAAAAAGUUAGAGGAUCAAUUGAAUGCCCUUUAUAAUGUUGUAAAAUUUUUAGGUGAAGAGGUUCAAAGUUGAGAUUACGAGUACAAUGUCAUGCUGAUUUUCGAUGGAUCUGUGUUACUCCCAAAAAAUAUAAUGGUAGUAUAACUGCUUUGGAUAAGGUGAAAGCUCAUUUAGAAGAUAUUUGACAUAAUAAAAAUAUUUCCUUAAAUUUGCUGCAUCUACAUCAGGAAAUAAUGAACACUGAAAAUACACCCAGACCUGAUUUGGAUGUUGCAAAAAGGGCUGAGUCUUUUGUUAAAGAACUUUUUCGACAUGUACCUACUG